AUUGAACGCUGGCGGCAGGCCUAACACAUGCAAGUCGAGCGAGCGGCGGACGGGUGAGUAAUGUCUGGGAAACUGCCUGAUGGAGGGGGAUAACUACUGGAAACGGUAGCUAAUACCGCAUACCAUCAGAUGUGCCCAGAUGGGAUUAGCUAGUAGGUGGGGUAAUGGCUCACCUCGGCGACGAUCCCUAGCUGGUCUGAGAGGAUGACCAGCCAAACUGGAACUGAGACACAGUCCAGAGUCCUACGGGAGGCAGCAGUGGGGAAUAUUGCACAAUGGGCGCAAGCCUAAUGCAGCCAUGCCGCGUGUGUGAAGAAGUCCUUCGGGUUGUAAAGCACUUUCAGCGAGGAGGCGUUACUCGCAGAAGAAGCACCGGCUAACUCCGUGCCAGCAGCCGCGAUAAUUC
rnacentral:rRNA from 1 species